rnacentral:misc_RNA from 1 species
AUCAACAAUUGCAGAGAUUUAAAUUUAAAAAAAAAAUGUCCCAAUGAUGAAGAGUUUCCACAAUGCUGGACUUUUUUACACAGAGCUUAUUGCUUUCUCAGUAGAUUUUGCAUUUGGAAAAGAAUAAUAUGUUGUCCUACUAGAUUCGUCUUUGAAAUUAGACAGUGUCCAUAAAUAUUUAUCAUUUUUCUUAAUAAAAAUUAUCAGAAGAACCUGUUAAACUAAAGGAUAACUUUUAAUUGUAACAUUUAUCAAAUUACCAACUGCAAUAUCUCAGAUGAUUCUUUAUUUCAAGCGACAAGAUAUGAAGCAUAAAA